UACGGGGGGUGCGAGCGUUGUCCGGAAUCACUGGGCGUAAAGGGCGCGUAGGUGGUUUGAUAAGGGUGUGGUGAAAGUCCGGGGCUCAACCCCGGAUCUGCCGUGCCGACUGUCAAACUCGAGGGCUGUAGAGGCAGACGGAAUUCCAGGUGUAGCGGUGAAAUGCGUAGAUAUCUGGAGGAAUACCGGUGGCGAAGGCGGCAUCCUGGACCGGCAUUGACGCUGAUGAGCGAAAGCUAGGGGAGCAAACGGG
rnacentral:rRNA from 1 species